AUAAUGAGUUCACUUAACUAAUUUUUUUAUUUUUAUUUCUACCUAGUUUUCUGCAUGAAGUCAUUGGCAUAAGCAUCAACUUGUCACUUGUGCCAAUAUAGCUGUCUGUCAAAUGGAAUUAAAGUGCACACCCUUUUUGAAUUAGUAUAUUUGUGAUAUGUGUAGCUUAUUUAGUGUUCUUCUCCCUUAAAUUUUUUGAAGCCCUUGUUGUUUGCAGGAUGAGUUUUGAGAGUUCCCCAGAUGUUAUGAAAGAAAUAAACAUGCAGCAUGAGCGACAUUGCUGCUUAGUCAACUUUGGAUGUAAAAAGAAAGCUUGAUGGGUGUGAAGAGGGUAUAUUGGUAUAUGUGUCGGGCCUGAUAUGCUUUGUUGGAAAUGUGAUUAUAUGAUGUUUUUUAUCUUCUUAAUUCACCGUGAUAUUCAUUGGACAACGUGUUCUUUGGCAGCCCAGCUUUUGGUUAAUUCUUUCAGAAAUUAUUUUUAAAAGAAAAACAUACUCUCAUGAAGCAACCAGUACUUGCAAUAAAUUUUGGCAUCUAUAGAGAGUUAUAUAAUCAAUAGUGGCAUUCAUCCUGUUAGUUGAAGCCAUAUGUGGUUAGAUAGAUAUGUUACAUAAUUUCCCUUGCAUUUAGAACCAUCUUUUGGCUUAAAUUUAAGUAUCUUUCCAAUAGAUUCUGUUGCAAAAGUAAUCAUUAUGUCUUCUUGCUUGUCUUUGUGCUAAUGCUCUAUGAUAUAUCGAAGAAUGAAAAGAUUGGGAAUUUGGGCAGCAACGAGGUCUAAUUGUGCUUGAAACUAAACAUUUUAUUUGGCCUUGUUUCAAAUACUUGUUAUGCUUGUCCUUUGAAUUCUCCAUUUUAUGGUUCUCACGAGGUUGUUGUUGGAUAAAAUUUAUUUUCGUUCAGGCUUGCAGGGUUUUCACUUGGGGUUCUUACUAAAGGAAGCGAUUUGAAGAUUAAGGUGGGACUCGUGUAAAAGGAUAGGCUCAUAAAAGGUUCAUUUUAUUGGUGGAUUUCAAGGAAAAUGUUAUUGCUGGAGGAAUUUGUGCUUCGCUUUUAGUCCUUUUCGUUGAAACAUUCUGCAAUGCCUUUAUACUUUGAGUUAGCUCCCACAUGACUUGCUUGGAAAUUAGUAUGCGUCUCUUGGGAAGGUCAACUUUCAACCAAAAAUUGUUAUAAAAUGUGAAUAUAGUGUCUAAUAUGAAAUACUGCAUGUUGAAAUGCUUGUACCGCCUUUGCAACUUAUACAUCCUUUUCUUUUAAUUUGAUGCAUUUCCGGGUUUUUGUGAUUGAAUUAAUGCAUUUAGCCAAACUCCUGAAUAUCAUAACAAAUUUAUCCGCUCAUUAAUGGAGAUUAAAUUUUCCUUUGGUUUGGCAAAUAUAUAGAAUAGUACGGCCUAAACUAUUUAUGUUUGAGAUAUAUUAUGUGUCCUAUGUGGUUGUUAGUGCAUAUAUUUGUUUUUAUCCCCGUGCUAGAGGAAUGCUGCAUUUUGCCUUCUUAUCCGAAGUUAUGGCUUAUGCCUGGAGAAAUGUUUGCUAAUCCAUUGGUUUCGAGGUCCAUGUGAAGUUCUCCAAAUGUAGUUUUUGCUAGAUAACCAGGUUUUAGUUGUCCUUAAAUUUUGAUCCUUAUGCCUAUAGAUUUCCUAAUCAUGGACAUGUUCUUUUUCUUAAUGAUACUUACAGCUAAUCUUUUUUUUUUUGGUUUGUGAAUUGAUCUGCUUAGCUUGCUUGAUAUGCUUGAAAUGCUUGAAUUAAAUUUCUGGUGAACUUUCUUAUAGCAAAUGGAAACACAGUUGAUCUUAUUUGAUUGUUCAAGAGUUGACUUUCUGUCACAAGAUGAAAGGCUUGGUACGAUUUUGCUUCUUAAAGAUGAUAGCCGAUCUUUAGUGGUUUAUUCAUAGUUAUGUUGAGAUCCUUUCAACCAGCCUUCUAUCUUGCAAAUACUUUGUGUUCAUUGGCCUAAUAGAUGUUGUGACUUCAACCACUUCGUAGUUGCACGCAUUUUGUAUGUUGGUAUGCUCAUGGCAUGUUAUUGUUAUAUUUUAUAUUAUAUUUCUGCCUUACGUGAGCUACUCAUGGGUUUUCUACGUCGAUACUUGUGAUUGUCAAAUUCCUAAAAAUUGUUUAAUUUUCCUGAUUUUAAUUUGGAGCGUGUGUGUCUGUCUACGGGAUUUUGAAUGAUUCAAAGACCAUGCAUUCUCAUGAUAGUCUUUUAUGGCCCUUGUGGUAUUUAGUGACAAGAUGUUACUCAUUGGUGCAUUUAUCCAUGAUGUUAUGAUCUAUUCUUUUCCAAUAUAUGAAUUAUGUAUCUGUAGUUUUUUAUGGUGCUUAUUUGAUUUGCUAGAAAAUGAUCAUGUUGCAAGCCUGCUGUGCAAAUGUAAAAGGGAGGCUUAAUUCUUGAGUUUGUCCUGUAUCACACUUCAAUUCUAUGUCUGCUGAGUUAUGUGUUUGUAUUUUAUGUUUGAUCCUAAACAAGUCAUUGCGAUUCUAAUGACAAUUUGGUAAGCCUAUUUACUGGCUCAUGUGGUUUGCUAUCUUCAAGGGUGCAACAUGUGGUAACUGCAUUUUUUCUUUUCUGUCACCUGGUUUUCAAUCAAAUGGCUGCCCCUAUUUUUGUUGAUAAGUGGAUCAUUGAUGAGGAGUGUUUUUUAUUUUGUUAUAUGUGUAUAUGUGUUAUGGUUAUCCUUUUCUGACAUGCUGCUCU